CUUUUUAAUUCUUACGCCUUUGUAUUAGUAUCAACCAAAGCCUUCAACAUAAUAUUGUAUGACAGAAUACGGAGCCUUGUUAAUUUGUAAUUCAUAGUAGUAGCAGGACUUAACAUACUACUCUUCCUCCAUUCUGACCGCAGUUUUAUUCUGUCUGUCAGGGUGAUCUCCCCUUGGUCGGGCACGAUGGUAGAAACAGAAGGGUGGUGUUGCUGCGCCCUCUUCUGGCCAAAGGUGGUCAUGUCCUGAAGAAACGAGCUCUGCGCACCAGGUGUGGGGAGCCACCUCGUGGAAGAAAGCAUCCAUUGCGCCUGAUCUUUGUUUUCUCCCGCAGUGCGACGGUGGUGACCGGAAUCACUCCCAACUCAAGCACCUCCCCUCUCUCCAAGAAACCCAACCUCAGCCAUAAAGGAAAGACACACGUGGACCUCAAGUCCCCCAGCACAUCGAAGCACCAGCGGCAACUAACGGCGUUGACUUUCAAGUGCUGUGAUCAAGGAGGCCUCAACGACCUAAAAACAAUUUUCAGAGUGGCUCUGUGGUCCCUGGGUAGCCUUCGGAAAGAGCCUUUGAAGGUUACGGUCAUGUUAUCAACAGAUGUCAACAAACAUGGUCGGUGAAUUUGGAAGAGUCGAAUUGUCUUCUUCCAAGGUCAACGGAAGUCUUAUGGAAACAGCAGGCAAUCUUGGAAAGAGCAGUCGGAGGUCUCGCUGUGCGCACCAUGCAACCGUGAAAUACUUUCACCAAAGAUAUCUUCCAGCAAAGUGUA